GUGGCCCCGGGGCUGGGCUGCUGUUGGCAGGAGCCUCCCUUGAGCAGGGUGUGGGGGCGGGAAUGCGCUAGAAUGCCAGGGGGUCAAAUCGGAGCUACGGCUGCCAGUCUACACCACAGCCACAGCAGCACUGGAUCCUUUACCCACUGAGUGAGGCCAGGGAUCGAACCCGCACCCCCGUGGUUCCUAGUGAGAUUUCCACUGCGCCACGACAGGAACUGCCCAGGCUCUGCUGCCACUACAAAGAAAGUUUGGGAGCCAUCAGUUCACAUUCCUGGGGGCUGGGUUCUGAAAUUGUUCCUGUAGCCGAAAUACUAGAAGCCAGCAAAUCCUCUGGCUCGGCUUGUCUGUCUCCCCAGAGGGCCCUGCGCGCACGUGGCCAUCCCACCGCUUCCUUUGGUUCUGCAACUCACUCGCCGCCGUUGGCUCCUGCGCUGGGAGGUCAUUCAGCUCGUCGCACUUGGCUCACGUGUGCGCGGUGAGCAUAAGGGAGCCCGCGCUCCUGCCCCAACCGUAAAGACUGGAUGGAGCCCGGGAGGGGCUGGUGCGUCGGCCUGAGAGGAGCCUCUGUGCCCCUCCUGAGGCAGGCGGCCCACCCUGCGGCUUUAGGGGACGGGCUUCUGGGAGGCUGGGGACAGCCCCAGGGCGGGGGCCCGUGGGAAGCCCCCCAGGUCUGGGUAGCAGCCAUGGGGUCUGGUUGAAGCUGCCCAAAGGGCGUGGACCCCGGCGGGCCCUGCGUGGUGCCUGGUGACGGUGUGUGGAGACCCCACAGGGUCCUGGGUGUCACAGCCACUCUCCACCCCGACUCGCCAAGCUUGAGCAGAGCGCUCCCAGGAACCCUGCCGACGAUGCGUCUUAACCUACCCGCCAGGGCGACUGCCGUGUCCUUACGAAGGACGGUGGUGGGCGAGAGCACUCGGCGAGGAGAGUGAGGGUCCAGGGCCUAGCUCCCGUCAGCGACGGCCACUCGAAGGAGCGGGCUUCCACGGCGGCCCCGAUGCCGUGACCCUGCCCGAUGGCUCCUCCCGAGCCCCAGCUGCCCGUCGCGGCCCCGUCACCCCCACGUGCCGCAGGAGCACAGGGACAGCUCUGUGAAGGGGUGUGAAUGGGGCAGGAGCGCGGAGGUGACGGCUGCGUGGCGUUUGCACGCGCAUCACCCAGGCUGGCCCCUCUGUGUGACGGAGGCGUCCAGACUGCGGGGCCCACCCAGCGCCGAGAAGAGUGAGUGUUAGGCCCUGAGAGCGCAGGGCUUAACCCCCUGGGGAGCCCAGCCAGUCUGAAGAGGCUGCUCCGAUUCCAGCUACACGACCUUCGGGAGAAGACGGAACUGCAGCCGGGAAAGGAUUCGAGGUGGCCAGGGCGGCAGGGGCGGACAGUGCUGCCGUCCCGCGUGCUGCUGUCACGACGGUGCAUCCUCCGUCUGUGUGAACCACGCGCCGGGGGCCCCAGGGUGAGCCUUCUCGCAGCCAGUGCCUUGGGUGUCAGCCUGAGCGCCCCGUCCUGACCCCCCUUGCGGAGAGAGGCUGGGCAUGUUUGGGGGCAGGUGAUAAAUGGAGACGCUCUCAAAUUCUUAAUUUUGUUAGGAAGCUAAAAGUCAAUACAUGUAAAAAAAAAAA
ensembl:lncRNA